CGGGGGGGGCAAGCGUUGUUCGGAAUUACUGGGCGUAAAGGGCUCGUAGGCGGCCAACUAAGUCAGACGUGAAAUCCCCAGGCUCAACUUGGGAACUGCGUCUGAUACUGGAUGGCUUGAAUUCGGGAGAGGGAUGCAGAAUUCCAGGUGUAGCGGUGAAAUGCGUAGAUAUCUGGAGGAAUACCGGUGGCGAAGGCGGCAUCCUGGACCGACAUUGACGCUGAGGAGCGAAAGCUAGGGGAGCAAACGGGAUUAGAUACCCCGGUAGUCCUAGCCCUAAACGAUGAAUGCUUGGUGUGGCGGGUAUCGAUCCCUGCCGUGCCGAAGCUAACGCAUUAAGCAUUCCGCCUGGGGAGUACGGUCGCAAGGCUG
rnacentral:rRNA from 1 species